GAAGGCCUGAAUUGCAAUACGUUGAGGAU
rnacentral:piRNA from 1 species